CCCGUACGGGUUGUAAACUGUCUUUUGUACUGGAAUAAACCUUGAUACGUGUAUCAAGCUGAAUGUACAGUAAGAAUAAGGAUCGGCUAACUCCGUGC
rnacentral:rRNA from 1 species